rnacentral:misc_RNA from 1 species
AAAGAGAAGUCGCCCCGGGGCCCCAAAAAGGCCCCUGGGGUAACAAAUCUCCACCCCUUGCUUGUUAUACCAAACUGUUGCUUUCGCGGGACAGCUGGAGGCUCUCGUGGCCUCCCCGCCGGCUUUUAAUCUUUUCCCCCCAGGGGGAGAGGUUGGGCUGGUGCCGCCCGCGAACGGCCAAAAUUAUAAAACCUUGAAGUAAACAUUGAAGUCUGAUUUUUAUACUAUGAAAAUAGCCUA